rnacentral:lncRNA from 1 species
UUUUUUCAUUUUUUUCAUUCAUUUUUUGGUGGUCCCUUUGGCCUCUUUUAUUUGGUUUUUAUUUUAAGUUCGGAGUCUCAUCCCAACUUGUGAGGGAAUCAUAGCUACCGUCCUUUCCUCACAUGGGACAAUGCUCUAAUAAUGAUGAAGUGAUGAUCAUCACACUUUUAUUUACUUACAACUCUAUACUUAGAACAAAGAUAUGACUCUAUAUGAAUGCCUCCGGCAGUGUACCGGGAUGUGCAAUGACUCAUGAGUGACAUGCAUGAA